rnacentral:miRNA from 1 species
UUAUACCUCAUUGAUUGGAAGGGAUUCCUUCCGUCAAUGAGGAUGUUAUACCUCAUUGACCGGAAGGAAUCCCUUCCGAUCGAUGAGGUAUAA